AACUAAUAUGGGGAAGUAAUAUUUAAUGUUAAAUUUUGGGCCACUGCUCAGGUGUUAAUUGCAAUAUUUUUAUCCCAUUUCAGAGGUGGGAAGCUCAAGGAAAGAAGAGAAAAAAAUUGCAUAUAGCUUUACAACAGAACGACAGUAAAAUAAAGUGGAAUUUGAAGAAGAUAAACUGACUGCUGUGAUCACUUUAAAAUAUGUGGUAUGGAGUAAGCAGUUGAUCAGGACACCAUGUUUUGUCAUUUGUAUCUUCUGGAGAGCUGGAGAAUUGUGUCUGAAAUGACAGCAACCUGGGAUCUGUGCAUCACAGCAUGCAUCACACAGUAUGUGUGAAGAUGUCUGAAUAUGGGGUCUGGUGCCUACUGGGAAGCCUGCAGCCACAGAAGGUAUCUCAGCAGACAUAAAACGUGCAAGAAUUUCUAGCAUCGCAGUGACUGCUUGCUUAAACCCUUAAUAGUUACAUUCUGUUAAGAACAUGUCACAAGUGUCUCCUAUUUUCAAAAGAGAAACUGCAGCUGUAUAAUUAUUCCAUGGUAAGCUCUAGUUUAACAAUACUAGACAGAACUACUAGAAAAUUGCUGUCACCUUUGUAAUUCUGUAUGUCUUUGACCCAGAGUCUCCGCACUUUCAUAUGUGCAUAAUUGCAUCCAUCUGCUGUGAUGAGAUCAAAGAAUGGUUGUUUUAACUUUUGAUCCAAAAUGAAGAAAGUGGUUGCACCAAUUUGUCAGUUCAAUGGCUCAGGAUCAUUCUUUGAUUUUGCCUCUGACAACUGGGGGUUAUAUUGGAGUUUGUAAAAUGAAUGCGUUUUUUAAAUUACUCUAAUUGUAUCACAACCAUUUCAGCUUAAAUACCAAUGCUAUUUUUAAAUCAUUUUUUUUCUUUUUCCUUUUGUCUAAAAUGCAGCACUGCUUCACAACUGACACAUUAAGUAACUCUCUCUCCCAAAUUUCAACCUCAAUCUUCAGAUGUUAGUAAUCAUUAAUCAAUUAACUGGUCUCAGAUAAAUAGUUAUAAAGACUACACAAGCAAAUAAAGUGAGCUGCUAGAAGCAUUUCCAUCAUUACGCUUAUGUGCCAUACAGCAAAUCAGUAUGUACUCAUUCAGUACUUGUUUUAUUGGCUUACUCUUGUUCAAAGUCAAGAGGAAGACAGUUUUGUCUUUCCAAAUAUAACAUCAGCACAAAGGACACCAGAGGAACAUUCAGAUCCGUUCCUUCCUGUAGAAUCCUGAGUUAUGGAGACACGUAUGGUGUGUGAGUCUGUGCACCAACUUAAGACAGUCCAGAAAAGGGAACUGUUUCUCAUAUAUCUCACUAGU
ensembl:lncRNA